AACGAACGCUGGCGGCAUGCCUAACACAUGCAAGUCGAGCGAGGACUUCGGUUCUAGCGGCGCACGGGUGAGUAACGCGUGGGAAUCUGCCCUUCUCUUCGGAAUAGCCCCGGGAAGCUGGUAGUAAUACCGUAUACUCCCUUUUGGGGAAAGAUUUAUCGCAUAAGGAUGGGCCCGCGUUGGAUUAGGUAGUUGGUAGGGUAAUGGCCUACCAAGCCGACGAUCCAUAGCUGGUUUGAGAGGAUGAUCAGCCACACUGGGACUGAGACACGGCCCAGACUCCUACGGGAGGCAGCAGUGGGGAAUUUUAGACAAUGGGGGAAACCCUGAUCUAGCCAUGCCGCGUGAGUGAUGAAGGCCUUAGGGUUGUAAAGCUCUUUCAGCUGGGAAGAUAAUGACGGUACCGGCAGAAGAAGCCCCGGCUAACUCCGUG
rnacentral:rRNA from 1 species